UAACAUAAAGUGAGCCAGAUACCCUUACAGUAAUCUUAUAAAAGAUUUCAAGAAAUUUUGUCAAUUUCAUUACAUCUUCCCAAUCACUACUCAAAAGUGUACCUACAGGACUUCUAUCCACAAUAUCAACAAACUCAAGAUGAUGUGACAAGCUAAUAUCAUGAUCAGCAUAUUCUAAAAUUGCAGUCUCAUAUUCAAUAGCCAUAUUCAACAUCAAGUAUGCAG
rnacentral:lncRNA from 1 species